rnacentral:lncRNA from 1 species
GUGGUAACUGCCAAGUACUUCCCAUACUAGAUCUGGAACUGGAUCUCACCUUUCAUUUUAGGUGUUGUGUAUCCCUCUUCUAGACUGUGAAUCCUUAUCAUUACACACUGACUGCGAACUCUUCUGUUCAGAUCUCUGGAUUCAGGCUCAGUUAUGGGUCGACAGUGAACAAGGAUGUGACUGUUAAUAGUGAAAGUCCAAGACUCCAGGAGAAGACCAUGAGUGCUGGGGAAGAGGGACUGAGGGAAUAACACAUCCAUGGGGACUGAAACUUUUAAAGCAGAAAUUGCAGGAGCUUCAGUUACACCAGGAUGAUUGGGAAGAGCCAAAGAGGUGGUGCCAUCAUGGUGACAAAGAUUUUACCUCCUAAAUUUUGCUUCUUGAGCUAGAAGUGAUAAGUUUCAAUAAAUAACAGAGAUCGUGAGUUAUAAGCCA